UUGACACAGGUGGAUGAGGAGAGAAUCCUAAGGCCGGCGGAAGAAGCAUUGUCAAGGAACUCGGCAAAAUGACCCCGUAACUUCGGGAGAAGGGGUGCCACUGAGAAGUGGCCGCAGAGAAUAGGCUCAAGCAACUGUUUAGCAAAAACACAGGUCUAUGCGAAACCGUAAGGUGAGGUGUAUGGGCUGACGCCUGCCCGGUGCUGGAAGGUUAAGAGGAGAGGUUAGCGGAAACGCGAAGCUUUGAAUUUAAGCCCCAGUAAACGGCGGCCGUAACGAUAACGGUCCUAAGGUAGCGAAAUUCCUUGUCGGGUAAGUUCCGACCCGCACGAAAGGCGUAAUGAUUUGAGCGCUGUCUCGACAAUGCAUCCGGUGAAAUUGAAGUACCAGUGAAGAUGCUGGUUACCUGCGCCAGGACGGAAAGACCCCAUGGAGCUUUACUCCAGUUUGGUACUGGGAUCCGGUACUGCAUGUACAGGAUAGGUGGGAGGCUAUGAAAUGGUAACGCCAGUUGCCAUGGAGCCGCUGUUGGGAUACCACCCUUGCAGUAUUGGGUUUCUAACCAGCCGCCGUGACCCGGCGGUGGGACAAUGCCAGACGGGGAGUUUGACUGGGGCGGUCGCCUCCGAAAGGGUAUCGGAGGCGCCCAAAGGUUCCCUCAGGAUGGACGGAAACCAUCCAAAGAGUGCAAAGGCAGAAGGGAGCUUGACUGCGACACCGACGGGUGGAGCAGGUACGAAAGUAGGGCUUAGUGAUCCGGUGGUAUUAAGUGGGAAUGCCAUCGCUCAACGGAUAAAAGCUACCCUGGGAUAACAGGCUUAUCACUCCCAAGAGUUCACAUCGACGGAGUGGUUUGGCACCUCGAUGUCGGCUCAUCGCAUCCUGGGGCUGUAGUAGGUCCCAAGGGUUGGGCUGUUCGCCCAUUAAAGCGGUACGCGAGCUGGGUUCAGAACGUCGUGAGACAGUUCGGUCCCUAUCCGGCGUGGGCGUAGGAUAUCUGAGAGGAGCUUGUCCUUAGUACGAGAGGACCGGGAUGGACGGGCCGCUGGUGCACCGGUUAGACUGCCAAGUCUAUAGCCGGGUAGCCAAGCCCGGAAGGGAUAAACGCUGAAGGCAUCUAAGCGUGAAGCCCCCCUCAAGAUGAGAUAUCCCAUCCGAAAGGAGUAAACCCCCUUGAAGACGACGAGGUUGAUAGGGCAGAGGUGGAAGUGUGGUAACACAUGGAGCUGACUGCUACUAAUAGGGUGAGGGCUUGACCGA
rnacentral:rRNA from 1 species